CCUACGGGUGGCAGCAGUAGGGAAUAUUGGUCAAUGGUGGGAAGCCUGAAGCAGCAAAGCCGCGUGAGGGAUGAAGGUUUUAAGAUUCUAAACUCCUUUUGUUCGAGGAAAUUAUACCGGUAUCUAUCGAAUAAGCACCGUCUCACUCCAUACCACAGGCCGCGGUAAUCCGGAGGUUGCCAGCGUUACUCGGAAUAACUGGGCGUAAAGAGUGCGUAGGCGGGGUAAUAAGUCAGCGGUGAAAUCCGGUAGCUUAACUACAGAACUGCAUUUGAAACUGUUACUCUGGAGUGGGAGAGAGGUAGGUGGAAGUCUUGGUGUAGGGGUAAAAUCCGUAGAGAUCAAGAGGAAUACUGAUUGCGAAGGCGACCUGCUGGAACAGUACUGACGCUGAUGCACGAAAGCGUGGGUAGCGAACAGGAUUAGAUACCCCAGUAGUC
rnacentral:rRNA from 1 species